AAGAGCUUUGUAAAUCGGGCUGGAGAGAUGGCUCAGCGGUUAAGAGCACUGACUGCUCUUCAAAAGGUCCUGAGUUCAAAUCCCAGCAACCAUAUGGUGGCUCCCAACCAUCUAUAAUAAGAUCUGAUGCCCUCUUCUGGGGUGUCUGAAGACAUCUACAGUGUACUUAGAUUUAAUAAUAAAUCUUAAAGAAAAAAAAAGGAAUCUUUGUAAAUCAUAUCUGCAAAUGUGCAGUUCCCAAACACUGCCAGGUUUGGAACCAGAACUCCGUGUGGAUUUCAUCUGACAGCUAUGGAAUCAACAACAGGAAAGGCCGUAGUGAUGGGUGUUUAGUAAGGACGGGAACCAGUUCAGAGGCUUGUGAAAUCGCGUGUCUUUCUUUCCUCUGCUACUCAGAGAGACUCAGUAGUUGCUAUGCGUGCGUGUGCACUGACCCAAGAAUUCUGACUACAACGAAGAAUGAGCGUGAGCUAGUGCAUGUUCCCAAAGCUAAGCACGGCAAAAAGCUCUCCAUUGUUAACCUAGAAUAAGUCUACAGGUUCAAUACUAGGAAAAAAGUUAUCAAAGGAGAUCAAAGCUUGUGCUUUUCUGAACGGCCUUGGGAAAGUAGCAUUUUUUUUUUAGGUAGUUACCAUUCUUCUUGAAAAUACAGGCCUUAAUACAAAGCCCAGUUUUAUCUUUAAAUUUUAAAACUUGGUAAGUAGUUUCGUAUGUAUGGCCAGUUCCCUGAUAAGCCCACAGGGAAAAGCUAUAAAUGAAAGAUCUCACCGUACAGCUUGGAGGCUCCCAGAGAGCUUGCUUACUCAUCGUCUCUGAGCUCUUACUGCAGCAUAGCCCUGAACUGUCGUGCGUGUGAGCCUCAAGCCCAGCAGAGAGUUUUGAUACUUGAACUGGCUGCCACACAGGGAGUCAGCCCCAUUACAUCAUCAGUCUUCAUUUUCAUUUACUGCUUAGUGGAUGCCAAGUUAGUUGGCCAAAAGGAAAUACAGUGUGUUCCCUACGAAGCAUGCCAGUGUAAGGGUUGCUUCAGAGAGCCUAUUGGAAACUUCAUUUCUCUCCCUUGUUAGCAAGUCUCAAGAAAGUCCAACUAGGACUAGUCAUGCUACUAGGUGGGUGUUCAUUUACUAAACCCUAGACUAAGAUGAAAGUGGUUAUCGUGUACUUCAAAACUGUACAGUUUUUUGCCUAAAAAUGUACUCCUAUACGGUCCUUUGGGCUCCUUCUCAUUAGUGUUGCAGGCAUAGAGUAAUGUUAUGCUUUUAGGUGUUCUACCCAUUCCUAUAGUGAUGAAUGAGAUUGGAGAAAGAACCUGGAGUUUUUGCCAGUUCCCUUUACAGCUGCAAAGCUUUUCAGAUUCAGUUGCAGCCAAAGACUAGAAACCAUCCAGACCAUGAGGGCCUGCAUCUGCAAGUGACCUUUAAGUUAUAUUUGCUGUGCAAUUGCUGCAUUGGAGCAGUGGCCGCUGAAAACAGAUGUGUGCAGCUUCUUGUAUCCUUUCUAAUGCGUCCAUUUCUGAAGUCACAGAGCACGUGCACCUUUGCAGAGUCUUGGCUUAUUUUUGCAUCUACAUGUCAGUCAUGCUUGUGAGAACACAUGGAAAAGUAAGUUUCAGCCCAGCCCACUUACUGGUAAAUGUCAAACUCCAAAGUAGGUGAUGUGUGAGUUUCUAUGGGGGAAGAAUUUUUGUUUGUUUGUUUUUAAAUUGGGAUGAGGAGACACACAUGCAGCAAGCACACAGUGAGGAAGACUCGGGAAAGCAGAGGACACUCAGGAGGCUGAAGCCCCAAACAUGUCUUUUUGUUGUUGUUGUUUGGUGAGAGAAAAAGACCAUGUGUUUGAUGCGCUUCAGAGGUCACUCAUGAACAGUGCUGCUCUUUCCUAACCAGCCCCUUACCCUGGACAGACUGCUGCUACACUCUGAUUAAGGUGGUCUGCCUUUUGAUAUGUGUGCAAUGUCUUUUUAAACCAAUGAGAUUGUAUAGUAUUAGUUACCCUUCAUGUCUAGCCUUCUGCUUAUUUAGAGGUUGCAAAAUGAUGGGUUUUCUUUGAGCAGCUUUUGUUCAGGGGUCUGUAUAUGCACUUUCUCUUUUAGAAGCAAAAACAUUCCUCUUGACCACCACUCUGAAGUCACGCACAGCAGGGCCCUCAGCCUCACAGGAGGAGUACAGGGAGGCUGAGGAGGACUUUUUUCUUAUCUUUAGUUUUGAGACCAUGCAGUGUUCCAUCUCUGAAAAAGACAUACUUGUAAUCCACACAAGAACAAAUGUUAGAUUUUUUUUUUAAUGUCCGCUUUUGUGAGUUCGAAGUACUUAGUAACCAGAAAUGAAGAUGUCUUCUGAUAAAGAGCUUCGAUCCAAAGCUUGGGUGGGAAUUAACUUCAGAAAGUUAACAGCUUGACUACAGAGUACAGCCUCAUCUUCCAGGCCUACCUCAGUCUGUACUCAUCUGGCCUGGACACACCCUUGGAUCAGUUUAUUUACAUGCUAGGGUGUUAAGUAGUCCUUGUGAAUUUUAAUAGCACUUUGUCAUUAUAAAACUAUGCCUAUUACAGAAAACUUGGAAAUAACUAAGUAGAAGGAAGAAAGGCUCUUUUUUUAAAAAAAACUGACAAACUCCCUUCCCACCCCCCUUUUUGAGACAGGGUCUCACUUUGUAGCUCUGACUGUCUUGAAUUGUGUAGCCCCAGCCGGCCUGGAACUCAGAGAGUUCCUGCCUCUACCUCCCACGCACUGGCAUUAAAGGUUUGUGCCACCAGGCCUGGCUAGCCCCCUCACCCCUCCUUUUCUAAAAGACAUUGUUUUUCUUAUUUUUCCUUAUCAAAAUGGCCAAAGCCAACAAAGGCUUUUGAGCAAAUAUUAAUAGCCUUUCUGUCUUUGGCUACUGGUCUGCAGGGAGGACCAGGUUGCAGGCUCCUCCCUGCUAACGUUCGUUGCUCAAGCAUUUUCUUGCCAUAAAUAAUUUGAAAGUAGUCCCUUUAUCUCUAAUGAUGAACUUUGGAGAAGGAGAACUCACUGCAGCUAUGGAGUGUUACUUGUUGAGGUUGUUGGACAUGCUAUCCCUAAGACUGAAUUUGGGUGGCCUUUAGGCAGCAUCACAGGCAUAAUGGAACGCAGUCACACGGUGCACAGACUUCAUUGGGUGACGAACUUUUUAUGUGGCCAUAAUUAACCCCACACUCAGAAGGCCGAAAGCAAAGCAAAAGAAGUACGAUAUAAAAGAAUACAAGGAGUCCGUUUCCCUGGAAUAUCACCUUAAAUGCUUAAAAAAACAAUGUAUAGACACCAGCAAGGAACUAGUUUUACAAGUUUGACACCUCAGUUUGCCAAGUAGAGUCUUCCUCUUGAUGUGUAGUGGAAAAAAUCACCUUGUUGAGUUCUGCCUUCCACCCCCCUUCUGUGGCCAUGCAUACCCCACCCCACCCCAGACUGGAGCAUCAGAAACAGUAUCAUGGAAGGCCAGCAUGUGUGACUGAAGCAUUUAAACAGCGCCCUUGGGUCUGAGCUCAUCUCUUCCAGCUCUGUCGAGCUCUGCGAUCUUCCCCAUCCCCAGGCUAGCGUCAUCCUCUGGUUUAGCUGUUGUCUAAUCCUUGUGGACUUUCUAGGAUUUCUUUCUGGUAAAAGUAAUUUUCUGACCCCAGGUUUGGUAUGUGUUAUCACUAACUCUGUGAAUAAGUAAAUGAGUGAUCACUGCUAAACAACUGCAGUUAUAGAAUUAUGUUGUAUGUAUGUACAUAAGGAGAGUGUAUUUUGUUCCUUUUCUUAAUAAAAAGUUACAUAUG
rnacentral:lncRNA from 1 species